rnacentral:ribozyme from 1 species
CCUUGGCGGCGUGCAGCACCUCUCCGUGGUGCCAGGGACCAGUACUCGAUGAUCAUACGUCGAUAUCGAGGAAGCUAAGACAGAA